AUUGAACGCUGGCGGCAUGCCUUACACAUGCAAGUCGAACGGUAACAGGUUAAGCUGACGAGUGGCGAACGGGUGAGUAAUGUAUCGGAACGUGCCCAGUCGUGGGGGAUAACUGCUCGAAAGAGCAGCUAAUACCGCAUACGACCUGAGGGUGAAAGCGGGGGAUCGCAAGACCUCGCGCGAUUGGAGCGGCCGAUAUCAGAUUAGGUAGUUGGUGGGGUAAAGGCCUACCAAGCCUACGAUCUGUAGCUGGUCUGAGAGGACGACCAGCCACACUGGGACUGAGACACGGCCCAGACUCCUACGGGAGGCAGCAGUGGGGAAUGUUGGACAAUGGACGCAAGUCUGAUCCAGCCAUGCCGCGUGCGGGAAGAAGGCCUUCGGGUUGUAAACCGCUUUUGUCAGGGAAGAAAAGGUUCUGGUUAAUACCUGGGACUCAUGACGGUACCUGAGGAAUAAGCACCGGCUAACUACGUGCCAGCAGCCGCAGUAACAC
rnacentral:rRNA from 1 species